GCCAGGCAUGGUGGCGCAUGCCUGUAGUCCCAGCUACUCAGGAGGCUGAGGCAGGAGGAUUGCUUGAGCCCAGGAGUUCAAGGCUGCAGUGAGCUAUGAUUGCACCACUGUACUCUAGCCCGGGUGACAGAGCAAGACCCUGGCUCAU
ensembl:misc_RNA Metazoa_SRP Metazoan signal recognition particle RNA